rnacentral:misc_RNA from 1 species
UGUCGCUGGCUUUCUCUGCAUGUGCACGUCUUUGCUUUUCAUCAACCUCUCUCACAUAUACACACCUGUGCACCCAUUGUAGGUCCUCGAAAGGGGAUCUAUGUUUCUUCAUAUCACACCCCUCGUAUGUUCAUAGAAUGUAUCAAAGACUGUCGACCAGGCUUGGUCCUGAUUGACAGGUCGAAUAAACUAUACAACUUUCAGCAACGGAUCUCUUGGCUCUCGCAUCGAUGAAGAACGCAGCGAAUUGCGAUAAGUAAUGUGAAUUGCAGAUUUCCAGUGAAUCAUCGAAUCUUUGAACGCACCUUGCGCUCCUUGGUAUUCCGAGGAGCAUGCCUGUUUGAGUGUCAUCGAAUUCUCAACCAUGUCUUGAUCAAUUUCAAGAGCAUGGCUUGGAGUUUGGGGGUUGCUGGCGGCAAAAGGCUGUCAGCUCUCCUGAAAUGCAUUAGCAAUGGGUCGCUAAGUCUUUUGAUGUGCAUGGCCUUCGACGUGAUAAUGAUCGUCGUG